rnacentral:rRNA from 1 species
AUUGAACGCUGGCGGAAUGCUUUACACAUGCAAGUCGAACGGCAGCACGGACUUCGGGCUGGUGGCGAGUGGCGAACGGGUGAGUAAUAUAUCGGAACGUGCCCAGUCGUGGGGGAUAACGUAGUGAAAAUUACGCUAAUACCGCAUACGAUCUAUGGAUGAAAGCGGGGGAUCGCAAGACCUCGCGCGAUUGGAGCGGCCGAUAUCAGAUUAGGUAGUUGGUGAGGUAAAGGCUCACCAAGCCAACGAUCUGUAGCUGGUCUGAGAGGACGACCAGCCACACUGGAACUGAGACACGGUCCAGACUCCUACGGGAGGCAGCAGUGGGGAAUUUUGGACAAUGGACGCAAGUCUGAUCCAGCCAUUCCGCGUGCAGGACGAAGGCCUUCGGGUUGUAAAGGACUUUUGUCAGGGAGGAAAUCCCUAGUGCUAAUAACACUGGGGGAUGACAGUACCUGAAGAAUAAGCACCGGCUAACUACGUGCCAGCCGCCGCCGUAA